GUGAGAGGGCUGGCAGGGCACAGCCCCCUUGGGGCAGGUCAAGGGAUGGGUUACUCCUCAGCACAACAUCAGCAUGUACAGGGCAGGGCAGCUCCAACCUGUGUCUGAUAUGUCCUUCGUGUUGUCUGUUUUCUGUGUCUUAGACUGUAUGUUCCUUGGGUCUUGGUGCCUCCAUAGCUUGGUGAUCAGCAGGCACCUCGGUAGCCCUCCCAAGAGUCUGGAAUGCAUGAGCCUGUUGAGCCCUUCUCAUCUCACAAUUAGAGCUUAACACAUGGAUCUCUUUGGUGUGUGUCACAUCCUGGCUGUUUUUGAGCAUUCAUCUCUUGUGGUGGCCAGCCAGGUGCUGCCCACAGCUCUGCCCUUGAGUGUUCUGUUUCCACAGAGUCAUAUUCUGGGGUUUCAUCCCCAUGUCCUCACUGGUCUUAGGUCUUCAAGCAUAGCUUCUCAUGCAUCCCUCAUCCUGGUUUUGAUAGUAGCUUUGUCUUAUGUGUGGCAGCAACUGCAUCUCCUUGGCAGGUCUGCUUUAGAGCAUCUGUGCCAUUGUGGCACCACAGGGCUUCUCUGCUGGCAUCAUCUUCCCUAUGGGAAUCUUUCACUAAGCAAGGACAAGAGACUUAUAGAAAGUUACAAAGGUCUUGUGAAACAAAGAUCCUGAUUUUGUUGAAAUAAGGCAGGGAAGCAUGUACUCUGCUUAAAGUGUGGCAGAAUUGCUGAAGUUGCUGUAGAUGAGCAACCUCUGCUUGUGACAAAAUCAACAAUAUGAAAACCAGAUCUCCAAUACUUAGGCUGCCUACCUCCAACUGAAGACCUAUCCACUGUGUGUGUGUUGUACCUCGAAAUCGGAAUGAGAAGUUCACUGCCCAAUCAGAGUAGAGUAACUGUGAAUAUGUAUUAGGUGGAGGAAACUAACCACAAGUGCAUAAAUGUACAUAGCCUUGUUAUUCAGGGGGCAGCUUUGUGGCUUACUACCUAGCACCCCAUAUUUGUGCAAAUAUAUGAUAAAUGGUAAUACCUUGGCUCUGUAUGCAUUUUGGCAUCUUGCGUACCAGGUGAAUGACCCCACUUUUGGUAUAACAAGGUCGCUCAUGGCAUCUGUAUGUAGUCCUGGUCUGUGUGUGAGGGUUGGAGCUGCCCUGCCCAGGGGUGCAGCAGAACUGAAGAUGACAGGGUAGUGUAGCUUUAUGGGGAUGUGGAAGUAAGUUGAUUUGUACCAGUUCUGUUGGCAGAGACCAUAUGGUCCAUCUCUGGGCAAGUAGGUGUAGACAGCUGCCACAGUUGUGUUCACUUUUCUUUAUGGUCCAGGGCUAGGAUUGGAUCCAGCCGCACCUAGACUCCUCUGAGAAGGAGUUUAGAAAGCAAGGGGGUCCAGUCUGAACCUCGUGACUGGUUGGGAGCAGCAGUUAGCAUGCAAGGGGAGCGAGUCAGAUCUGGAAGGUGCCUUAGCUUGCACAGAUGGGGCUCCCUAGCUGGGUUUUCUUCUAGCUGUAGUUAGAAGGUUAAUGCAAAAGGCAGAGCGACCUCUGAUCUCACCAAGCUACAUGUGGUUGUGCUGGUGACUUGCUUUACAGGAUGUGUUUGGGUUGUUUCAGAUGCAGAGCAACAAACGGCACAACCAGGGACAUGGAAGAGGGGAGCAGAGUGCCGGCUGAAGAAGGACAGGCAUCCAGUGCCGGUGUAUCGGCAGGACAGCUAGUGGUUCUGACAAGCUUAAGCUUCUCUGGCUGGAUUUCCUGGGUGCGAAUCCAAGUGUGAAGCGAGAUGUUAUCAGCGGAGUGGCCUCUGGCAAGGUGAGGGGUGGAUGGGGUGCUGAAGCAGCAGGUUUGAGGUGCUGUGUUAUGCAGAGGGACAAACCAAGAGGUACGUAGGGAGCAGAGUGCUGGAAGGUGAGUUGGCCAAUGGUGUUGGAGGGAAGAAGCAACUGGUUGUCUUCUAGGCUGUCUUCUAGGUGUUUGAGAUUUUUAUUUUGGAGGCGCAAAGCGGGACAUCAGCACUGCAGGCGACUCGAGGAAGGUGGUACACAAGCCCUCCUAGUCCCCUGGGAUCCCUGUCUGGAUGAUUCAGGAUGGCCUGGUGCUGUGCAUUGCAUUUCCAGAGACAAACAGCAGCUUGGCAGCUUGUGAUCAGGACUCCAGAGAGAUCUGAGAAGGCCCCAGAGCACCUUCUGCAUCCUCUCACAGUCAGCAUGUGAGUGAAGUGAUGCAGGUUUCCCACCUCUGUGCUGGCCCCACAUGCCAUCCUUUUUCCCCUGUGGUUCCAGACUGUUAGCAUGGGAGAGACUUGCUUCCCCUCCAGGUCCAAGUGUUUCCCAGUGCUUGAGGGACCUGCAAGAGAACCUGAGCUUUCCUAUUGCAUUGAUUGAAUACCUGUAUAACACUUAGAGCCAGGUGUAGGUUGGCUUCUUCCUGCUAAGAAGCCAUUUCUUCACAAAAUGCUUUUCUUUGUCUGAGAUGGAGACAUACAAGUAGUGGUGACCAGAUCUGUGCUUGCAGAUGGACUUGAUGGAAAGUACCGAACUUCUUUUGUUGCAAUCUGUAAUGAUUUUUUUUGCCUCAAAUGUUUUUUGUACUGCUUAUAAAACACAGUUUCCCAGCCUUUUUUUAAAUUUAAGUAGACAUUGAAAGAAAAAUCAGCACUCAGAAUAUUGAUGGAAAAAUAAUUGUGAACAAUUUCAGAACUUCACAGAUUUAUUUAUAAGAUUUACUUAUUUGAAAAAGUGACACUUUUUACUAAUUAAUAACAUAUUAUUUUCACUUCAUAAUGGAGUCACAAGCUGCUGUCCUCAGACCCUGAUCUCUGGGAGGCUCUUUGUAGAAAAUCAUGCAUAGGAAUAGGAUCAUCCCCUAGGAAAGCUGGAAACACUGUGGUUCAUAAAUUGGAUUUUUUUUUUGUGGAGUAAAACUUGGACGUGUUGAGCACACCUCAUGGAAGUACCCCUGCUUUUCUAGGAACUUGCUGAAGAAAUCCCAAGGCAGACUGACCGUGACACCUUAAGCAGAUACUAGCCAUUGGUGUGUUCAGAUGCUGAACAAAUAUUUCUCAUAUUCCCUUUCAACUGCUGGAAACCUGCCAGAGUUAAAUCCCAUCUUUCAUUUUUGGAGCUUUGCUGUUUUCCGUAUUUUUCUGCCUAAGGUGCAUGAUCUGAGGUGUUAAUUUGAACUUGGACUGGAAGAUGUAAUUCAAAUACUCAUCUUUAUGCAGAAAGCAACCAGGGAAGAUGUUCUCGAGUGUAAGUGUGGUAAUUAAUAAGAUUAUGAGAAAAUUAGAGUUUCUUCUGGAAAUCACUAACAAGUUACAACCAAAGAAAGAAGUGGAUGUCAGGAUAAGGAACCCUGUGACCCAUAUGGCAUUGGAAGACAUGGAUUAGGAUUUCUUCUUAUGGUUGGCUAUGACAAAACCAGUGUGGAAAAGACACCUGAGGAGUUUCUGCUCCUCUGUCUCAUAAUAGAAGAGGAAAAUGCAUAAUGAAAUGUGAAGCUCUGAAGUAGCUCAGUGAAUUUUAGUGUUCUUCUUAUUAUAGGGAUAACUUAAAUUCCCCAUAUAUAUUCUGUGCCUUACAUGCAACAAUUCAAAUGAACAAAACUGAUCUCAGCUGGUGAUUUCUCUACCUAGUGGGGUUCUAUGGUCUCUUGGAGCAGUCUGUCAGCUGAACUGCUGGGAUUUUCCAUUUCUUAUUUUUUUUAAGUUGAUUUUACAUGACUAAGAGUGAGUUAUGUGGAAAAUCAACUCCAGGAAGCUUAUCUCAGUGAAACCCAAGAAAAGGUAACAUUCAUAAAUUAGGAUGAACUAUAUCCUGAGAAACUUUAUUAAUCAAGUUAAAAGAAGAUACAGAGACCUAAGAGUAUUUUAAUGCUAUAUAAAUAAUUUUUUACUUAUAUAACAGCAUUGCCUAACUUGGUUUAGUUCUCCAUGCAGAAAAACUGAUAGGUAUGUAAAGCAAAAAGCUCUGGUCCUAAGAGGCAGUAUGGGUUACUGUAAUAUAUGCCAAUUGGUGUGGGAAGAAAUUAAUUAUAUUGUAGUAAAAAUAUCUCCAUCUUAAUAGACCUAGCAGACUUUAUUUGUUUACAAAAGCUUUAGUACCAAAAAAUACAUGAAUAAAAGAAGCUAGGAAAACAUAUUGGAAAUAUUAGUCUGAACUUCUAAGGUAUUCUUUAUUUAAAAUUGUUAAGAUUUUCCAGAAUUCGUUGGGGGGUGGAGGGGAGAAAAAAAAUUUACCUGGAAAACCAUGGUGACUGCAAGAGGAAGAACACCAUUUGGCAUAAUUUUUUUUAAAAAAACUGAUUUUUGUUACCUACCCAAACACUUUCACUUAUUGGUUUUAUCAAAGCUAAAAAAAAAUUGUCAAGACAUCCCACACUCAUUUGAAAUUAAUUUGUUGUAUAAUCUAAAAUACUCUAAAAUAACCUCUGUCUCUGAGGAGGGCUUGGCCUGCUAAAGUCACAGCUCUUACCUUGAGGAAAUGAGUCCUUAGAGAAGAGCAGGGACAGGACUGAUGUAGUUCACAACAUUUUUCCCUCGCUGCCUGGAGCCUGAUACCUGGUUCCAGCUCUUCUACGUUCAGUAGGGAUCAGUGGGAAUCUCACCAGGAGGUUUAAACACCCACAUCUGUCUCCCAGCAAAGCUCUUCUGUUGUAUGUUCACAUCUCCUUCACACUUCCCCUGCUCCUGCAUUUUCCUCUAAGAUCUUUUCUCCUCCUCUUUUGAGGAAGAUGCCAUAGUGACAGUAACAAAAGCUGGAACUUUUGGUAAAAAUACAUUCAAUGUUUCUGCAUGUCAUGGACUUCUAGGCAGUGCUAGGUGCUUGCUACAGUUACAACCAUCUCCAGGUUUUCUCUAACUUUCUGCAAGGGAGCUGUGCAUAGUGAUAAAUAGCAUGAUGCAAAUCAGAAUCGCCAUAAACUCCGGUGAAGUAUGCUGUUGAUGUACAGAGCAUCUUUGAAAGGGGAGAAAAAGCAAAGCUCAAGGGAUUACAUACUUCUCUAAUGGUCUCCUGACUUAUUUGCAUGUAUGCAGAUUUAUGUAUUAAGUUUUUAUGUACUUGUUUCCCAAAGCUCUGUAUGAUUCAUUUAUUUCCUUCUGGUUUUGUAGUAGCUUAAAAUUUAUCUAUGCACUGUUCAAAAUCUGGUCCUAUUGCCCUCAAAAUUGUUGAGAUUCCUAAAUUGCAUUCAGAUGUUCCCCCUAAAUGACUCCUUCAGGAUCAGCUUGAAAGCAUCUGAAGAACAGAAGAAGUCUUUUCUUAUGCUGUAAUGACUAGGUCCACAGGUGAGGAUCUGGAGGAAUGGUUCAAGAUGCAGCCUUCUCCCAACUCAGAUGCAUUACACAGACUUGCAGACUGCUACUGAGUUAACAGUUCAGAUGGAGAGCAACAAGAGUAGCUUUCCCGCUUUCCCGCUUUCCCGCUUUCCCGCUUUCCCGCUUUCCCGCUUUCCCGCUUUCCCGCUUUCCCGCUUUCCCGCUUUCCCGCUUUCCCGCUUUCCCGCUUUCCCGCUUUCCCGCUUUCCCGCUUUCCCGCUUUCCCGCUUUCCCGCUUUCCCCGCCGGGAGGGGGGGUGCCUAAGCUGGGGUCGCGCACCUGCGGGAGGG